rnacentral:rRNA from 1 species
GGAGGGUGCAAACGUUGCUCGGAAUUAUUGGGCGUAAAGCGCACGUAGGCGGCUUGUUGUGUCCGGUGUGAAAUCCCUCGGCUUAACCGAGGAAGUGCAUUGGAAACUGGCAAGCUUGAGUACUGAAGAGGGUCGCGGAAUUCCCGGUGUAGAGGUGAAAUUCGUAGAUAUCGGGAGGAACACCUGAGGCGAAAGCGAUUCUCUAUACUGUUCCUGACGCUGAGACACGAAAGCUAGGGGAGCAAACGGGAUUAGAUACCCCGGUAGUCCUAGCCUUAAACGUUGGACACUAGAUAUUCUCGCGUUCGUGCGGGAGUGUCGUAGCUAACGCGCUAAGUGUCCCGCCUAGGGAGUACGGUAGCAAGGCUG